rnacentral:tRNA from 1 species
GGGGCUGUAGCUCAGUGGUAGAGCACUUGCCUUGCAUACGUGAGGCACUAGGUUCAAUCCUCAGCACCA